rnacentral:rRNA from 1 species
GAUGAACGCUGGCGGCGUGCCUAAUACAUGCAAGUCGAGCGAACAGACGAGGAGCUUGCUCCUCUGACGUUAGCGGCGGACGGGUGAGUAACACGUGGAUAACCUACCUAUAAGACUGGGAUAACUUCGGGAAACCGGAGCUAAUACCGGAUAAUAUAUUGAACCGCAUGGUUCAAUAGUGAAAGACGGUUUUGCUGUCACUUAUAGAUGGAUCCGCGCCGCAUUAGCUAGUUGGUAAGGUAACGGCUUACCAAGGUGACGAUGCGUAGCCGACCUUAGAGGGUGAUCGGCCACACUGGAACUGAGACACGGUCCAGACUCCUACGGGAGGCAGCAGUAGGGAAUCUUCCGCAAUGGGCGAAAGCCUGACGGAGCAACGCCGCGUGAGUGAUGAAGGUCUUCGGAUCGUAAAACUCUGUUAUUAGGGAAGAACAAAUGUGUAAGUAACUAUGCACGUCUUGACGGUACCUAAUCAGAAAGCCACGGCUAACUACGUG